rnacentral:rRNA from 1 species
GACGAACGCGGUCGGCGUGCCUAGUACAUGCGAGUUUAGCGCUGAAUGUUGGUACUUGUACCAACUUGAUGAGCAGCGAACGGGUGAGUAACGCGUGGGGAAUCUGCCAUUUAACAUGGGACAACUUUUGGAAACGAAUGGUAAUACCGCAUCAAGACUUUAAACACAAGUUUUAAGGUUGAAAGAUGCAAUUGCAUCACUCAAACAUGAUCCCGCGUUGUAUUAGCUAGUUGGUGAGGUAAAGGCUCACCAAGGCGAUGAUACAUAGCCGACCUGAGAGGGUGAUCGGCACCCUUGGGACUGAGACAAGGCCCAAACUCCUACGGGAGGCAGCAGUAGGGAAGCUUCGGCAAUGGACGACAGUCUGACCGAGAAACGCCGCGUGAGUGCAGAAGGUUUUCGGAUCGUAAAACUCUGUUCGUAGAGAAGAACGUUGGUGAGAGUGGAAAGCUCAUCAAGUGACGGUAACUACCCAGAAGGGGACGGAUAACUACGUG